AACGAACGCUGGCGGCAGGCUUAACACAUGCAAGUCGAACGCCCCGGUAACGGGGAGUGGCAGACGGGUGAGUAGCACGUGGGAACAUACCCUUCGGUUCGGAACAACGCCGGGAAACUGGCGCUAAUACCGGAUACGCCCUGGCUGUGAGGUCGGGGGAAAGGCUCGCUGCCGGAGGAUUGGCCCGCGUUCGAUUAGCUUGAUGGUGCGGGUAACGGCCCACCAUGGCGACGAUCGAUAGCUGGUCUGAGAGGGUGGCCAGCCACAUUGGGACUGAGACACGGCCCAAACUCCUACGGGAGGCAGCAGUGGGGAAUAUUGGACAAUGGGCGAAAGCCUGAUCCAGCCAUGCCGCGUGAGUGAUGACGGCCUUAGGGUUGUAAAGCUCUUUCGCACGCGACGAUAAUGACGGUAGCGUGAGAAGAAGCCCCGGCUAACUUCGUGCCAGCCGCCGCGGUAAAAC
rnacentral:rRNA from 1 species